rnacentral:rRNA from 1 species
CCUACGGGUGGCAGCAGUGGGGAAUAUUGCACAAUGGGGGAAACCCUGAUGCAGCGACGCCGCGUGAGUGAAGAAGUCAUUCGUUAUGUAAAGCUCUAUCAGCAGGGAAGAAAAUGACGGUACCUGCGUAAGAAGCCCCGGCUAACUCCGUGCCAGCAGCCGCGGUAAUACGUAGGGGGCAAGCGUUAUCCGGAUUUACUGGGUGUAACGGGAGCGUAGACGGCAGUGAAAGUCUGGAGUGAAAGGCGGAGGCUCAACCCCCGGACUGCACUGGAUACUGUACGGCUGGAGUGCAGGAGAGGUAAGUGGAAUUCCUAGUGUAGCGGUGAAAUGCGUAGAUAUUAGGAGGAACACCAGUGGCGAAGGCGGCUUACUGGACUGUAACUGACGUUGAGGCUCGAAAGCGUGGGGAGCAAACAGGAUUAGAUACCCUGGUAGUC